rnacentral:lncRNA from 1 species
UUGAACAUUUAUAAGUUCCUAUUGUGUUCCAGGUCAGAUAGGUGUCAGAGUGGACAGACUGUCAGAUCUGGAGUUAGGAAGACUCAUCUUCCUGAGUUUAAAUCCAUCCCCAGAUACUAACUUCUUUUAUGACCCUGGGUGUCUGACUCACCAUGAAAAGCAGGAUGAGUGGAGCCAAGAUGGCAGAAUAGAGCAGAGAAACUCAAAGUCACCAUGAGAACCAUUUCUAAACAACCCUAAAAUAACACCACAAAAUGAAUACGAGUGAAAGAACCAACAAGGAGACAAAGUGAAACAACUUUCAAGAGGAGAAAAAUGUAAAAGGUAGGCAAAAAACAUCUGGGACACUGGGAUGAGAGGGAAAUAUAGACAGCAGCAGGCUACAGCAAGGAGUUAGUAGCAAGUUAAGAGCGAGCCCCACCACUUGACCUUCAGGCUACAUGUGCUGUGCCAGGUUCUGAAUCUGAGCUCAAGUCAACCUCCAUACCCUGACACCCUGCCUGGGCAAAAACAGGUCCAAAUAACCCACACCCCUUGAAACUCCAAAACUGUAGUGAAGUCCAGAAUUCCAGUCCUGGGUAGUCUGUGCUGAAGCAGCUUGAUCUAUGUGGGUCCAGAGUGAAACUAGAAGUCCCAGUCUGGAUCUGUGGCAAGGAUAUAGAUCCCAGUUUGGGGUAGUUGGUAGACCCAAAGGGGAGGGUCCCUCCUGAUCUUCUUUAUAAAAGCUCAAGGUUGAGCCCUAGAAUAGGGCAAUCUACUGUGUGCUUGACAAAAUCAAGCUUACAAUGAGUCCGAAAGCUUACACCUAAGCCUGAAGCUAAAAUUUGAGCAGUUCCUGACCUGAUCAAGUACAGUGAGACCAAAAGCUUAUAUGCAAACUUCAGGUGAGAACUUCAGCUACCAAAAUCUGAAGGGUUAAUUGAAUCAGCAGUUGGAGAAGGCUCUCAGAACUUUCAGUCCUCAGGACAUCAUACCAUCUUAGAAGAACUGAAACUAGCAGAAACCCAGAAAAAAAAAAAGUAAGGGUAGUAUCAAAGAAGGACUGAAGCUUAAGAGGGUACCCUAACAUCCCAGAUAAUAAACCUGCCUAUAAAAAGAUAGGGAAAAUGAGC